rnacentral:rRNA from 1 species
GAUGAACGCUGGCGGCGUGCCUAAUACAUGCAAGUCGAGCGGUAAGGCCUCUUCGGAGGUACACGAGCGGCGGACGGCUGAGUAACACGUAGGAACGUACCCCAAAGUGAGGAAUAAGCACCAGAAAUGGUGUCUAAUACCGCAUGUGCUCUAAGGAGUAAAGCUUCGGCGCUUUGGGAACGGCCUGCGCAUGACUAGCUUGUUGGUGAGGUAAAAGCUCACCAAGGCGACGAUCAUUAGCUGGUCUGAGAGGAUGAUCAGCCAGACUGGGACUGAGACACGGCCCAGACUCCUACGGGAGGCAGCAGUAGGGAAUUUUCCACAAUGGGCGAAAGCCUGAUGGAGCAACGCCGCGUGCAGGAUGAAUGCCUUCGGGUUGUAAACUGCUUUUAUAUGUGACGAUUAUGACGGUAGCAUAUGAAUAAGGAUCGGCUAACUCCGUGCCAGCAGCCGCCGUAA